CCCUUGCUGACGUCACGGCCCCGCGCGCCCGUCCCCAUGGCAACCGCCACUUCCGGCCCCGCCCCGCCGCUCCGCCAACAGCUUCCUCCCGCGCUCCUCACGUGACCGGAAGCGGAAGCGCCAUGGAGCCCCCGGGAGCGGCGGCGGGGCUCGCCCCCAAGCGCCGCGGCCCGGGCCCGGCCCCUCCGCGGAUGGCGGAGCCGCGGCCGCUCUUCGACGACACCAGCGGCGGGGCCGCCCCCCCCCCCCCACGGCCCGGCCCGGGCCUACGGGGCCCCCCCGGCGGCCCCCCCGGCGUCCUCCGCAUCCCGCCUGCCCCCCCCCGCCGCCGCCUUCCUGGCCGAGCCCGUGUCCAGCCUGGCCGCCGCCUACGGCAGCAGCUUGGCCAGCCAGGGCCGGGACAUCGUGGACCGGAACCACAGCCUCCACCACGGCUUGGAAGAGGCAGAUGGAGUGCUCCCUGCACCUGGCUGGACGCCUGGCAGGGAGGAGGACAGGAGGAAUUUCAGCAUUAGCGUGGCCGAUGUGAAGGGAGCUCCCAGCACUGUGAGAUGCUUCAGCGCUGGAUCCUUCCCAGAGGAGCUGCUCAGGGGCAGCUGCAAGGCCUGGUGCCCGUGAAGGGCAACGCAAUCGGUUGCCAUCGCAGGCUGCCCGCCAGCCACCCCACUUUCGCCACCAGCCGCACCAGCCAUGCCCAAGCAGAGCUCCCCAGCGCCUGGGCUGACGAGGAGACUGGGAAGGCCCUGCCUGAGUGCUGCCCACAGGGCCGGGCUGAAGGGCAGCCCUCGUUACAGGGGGCCCAGCUGAGGGCUCGGGCUCCCGCAGCACACUUACGUGGUCAAAGAGUGGCAGGAGCUUCUCAGCCAGCUGCAGAGCCAGGCCACUGUCCUUCCACCUCUCCACAUGAGCCAUCACGUUUCUCAGCACAGGCAGGGCCUUCAGCACCACGUCUGUGUUGGUGUCCUGCAGGGCCUCCAGGAUGUCUGGCAGCACGACCUGAAUUUUCCUUGCCUGUAGGAAAGACACCAUUUCCCUUCCGUGAGGCAGUGAGAGACCACCCUGGGCAAAGGGCUCUGGUUCCUGAGCACCAGCCUCCUGCCUUGCUUCCUGGCAGCGGGGAGGGACGGGAGGGCAGAAGAGCAAAGCCCCAGGCUGCCAACAUGGCUUUGCUUGACGAUGGCCCGCUCACCUUCUCAGGGCUCUCUGACACGGUGCAGAGCCCUUUCAGAACCAUCAAGCGCAUCUCUGGUCUUGGGUGCCUCAGGUAGCUCUGGAGGUGCACUGGGUUACCAAAGUCCUCCAAAAAAAUGUGAUUGUGGCCCAGCAUCUGCAAGAAAGAGCAGUGAGAGCCUGGCAGGGCCUGCAGGGCUCCCUGCAGCCUCUUCUUCUCCCACCUUUGGGCAGGGAUGGGGCAGCGCCAGCUGGCACCAAAGAGGCACCAGGCGCGGGGAGCUACGGGGGCUUGCCGGCCCCAGGGACCAUGUGUCCGUACGUCCUGCGGGAGCUGGCAGUUUGGGGGUAGAUGGGCACAGGGCUGUGCCUGUGUGCCUGAAGGGGCACACGUAGCCCUGCUGGGAGCAAGGUUUCAUCUGGGAACUCACAGCCAAGCGACGGAUGCAGGUGUCUUCGGUGACUUCCUUGCACCACAGGCACAGCGGCAAGUCUUCCAUCAUGAUGUUUAAAACCCUCUUCAAGGUCUGCGGCAUGGCCAGGAUCACCUCCCACAUGGCCAGGUCAGUGCUGCAAGCCCAGAAUACUCUGUCAGUGAGGCUGCCUCAGCCGCAGGGCCACAAACUGGGCCAGCCCCAGAGGACCCAGGCUGUCCUGCAGCCCCUGUGACUUGGGGAGCACUGAGGGCCCAGCCUGGGCAGGCAGGAGGGGGCUGAGCUGGUGUUCCCUGGGGGCAGGGGGACUCUGGGCUGCCUUGGACAGCUGGGCUGCUGCAGCCCUGGCUGGCCCAGUAGGGCUGGAACACAUUGGUGGGAAGGAGGGCUGUGCUCCUUGGGGAUGUCCUGCCCUUUGCCAUUGGUGUGGCAAGCAGAGAGUCUCCAGGUGCAUCUCCCGACGCGGAACAAGCCCUCAAGGAUGUUAAGGCCAGGACCUGUCACGUGGCGGAGAGAACUGCAGCAGGUUCUCGACUUCUUCCCUGGACAUCAUGUUGGUCAUCUGGAGAAGCAGGGAGUCCAGGCACUGCCGCGCCGAUGCCGUGUGGAUGCUGCCCAGGUUUCUCCUGAUGCACUCCAGGAUCGUUGGCACCUUGUGGGACAAAGUGGGAAUGGUGUUGCCAGCAGACCGCAGCCAUUGCCACAGCUGCCACUCAAACUUUGGCCCCUUCCAUUGCUCUCUGCUGGCUUCAGGUGGCUUCUGGAGCCCAAGAGACCCCGAUGUGCGAGGGAGGCAGGGAGGGAGGCAGGGAAGGAGAGAGGAACCACGCCUGGAAGAGCUCAAGGGCAGGGCCAUGGCCACAGGCCACUUACAUCUGUCAGCCAGUAGUCAGGGACCUCCAAGGCUGCGUCCAGCACGCUGCAGGCCCCCUGCUUGUCAUGGAUGCUGGAGUCUUGUAAAGCUUCCAGGGCUGUGAGGAUGAUGUCCAGCCUCUCAGCAGGGAAGAGAUGUCCUCCAAACCGCUGUGGGAAGAAGGAGGAGCGAAGACAUGCCUCACUGAGUGUCCCAAGGGUGCUGCUUAGCUGAGCAGCAAGAGCGGCUCUGGAGAGAGGGCCCUCGGGGGAAGGGGUGAGGAUGGGGCAUAUGGGGCCAGAGUGCUGGCCCUGCAGGUAACCAGGGCUUGCUGGUGGCCAGGAGGGCUGGAGCUGCUGCCGGGACACAGGGGAGCAGCCUUCGCAUAGCCCCAGCCUGGGGACAAGAGGAACCCUCUCAGCAGGGCGAGUGAGGCCGUGCCAGCCCCACCGGUUCUGGACCCCUUUGC